rnacentral:tRNA from 1 species
GUAGAGCARAGGACUGAAAAUCCUCG